rnacentral:pre_miRNA from 1 species
AGGGGAAUAGCUGGUCAAAUGGUGGUUCCAUUCCCAGAUUUCCAAGGAAUCUCCAUAAUGCUUCCCAAAUUGGCCGCACCAAUUUGCAGUCCCACCAGCAAU